AUUGAACGCUGGCGGCAGGCCUAACACAUGCAAGUCGAACGAGUGGCGGACGGGUGAGUAAUGUCUGGGAAACUGCCUGAUGGAGGGGGAUAACUACUGGAAACGGUAGCUAAUACCGCAUACCAUCGGAUGUGCCCAGAUGGGAUUAGCUAGUAGGUGGGGUAAAGGCUCACCUAGGCGACGAUCCCUAGCUGGUCUGAGAGGAUGACCAGCAAGACGGGAACUGAGACACGGUCCAGACUGCGACGGGAGGCAGCAGUGGGGAAGAUGGGACAAUGGGCGCAAGGAUGAGGCAGACAUGCCGCGUGUAUGAAGAAGGCCGUCGGGUUGUAAAGUACGUUCAGCGGGGAGGCGGUACCCGCAGAAGAAGCACCGGCUAACUCCGUGCCAGCAGCCGCGGUAAUAC
rnacentral:rRNA from 1 species